rnacentral:rRNA from 1 species
UACAGAGGUCUCAAGCGUUAUCCGGAAUCAUUGGGCGUAAAGCGUUCGUAGGUGGCUGUGCAAGUCUGCCGUUAAAGACAGUGGCUUAACCACUGAAAGGCGGUGGAAACUGCACAGCUAGAGUGCGGUAGGGGUAGAGGGAAUUCCCGGUGUAGCGGUGAAAUGCGUAGAGAUCGGGAAGAACACCAGUGGCGAAAGCGCUCUACUGGGCCUGCACUGACACUGAGGGACGAAAGCUAGGGGAGCGAAUGGG